rnacentral:rRNA from 1 species
UGGGGAAUAUUGGACAAUGGGCGCAAGCCUGAUCCAGCCAUGCCGCGUGUGUGAAGAAGGCCUUUUGGUUGUAAAGCACUUUCAGCGAGGAGGAGGCUACUUGGAUUAAUACUCUAGGAUAGUGGACGUUACUCGCAGAAUAAGCACCGGCUACCUCUGUGCCAGCAGCCGCGGUAAUACAGAGGGUGCGAGCGUUAAUCGGAUUUACUGGGCGUAAAGCGUGCGUAGGCGGCUUCUUAAGUCAGAUGUGAAAUCCCUGAGCUUAACUUAGGAAUUGCAUUUGAUACUGGUAAGCUAGAGUAUGGGAGAGGAUGGUAGAAUUCCAGGUGUAGCGGUGAAAUGCGUAGAGAUCUGGAGGAAUACCGAUGGCGAAGGCAGCCAUCUGGCAUAAUACUGACGCUGAGGUACGAAAGCAUGGGGAGCAAACAGG